rnacentral:rRNA from 1 species
AUGCGACCCCAGGAUGGGCGGGGCUACCCGCUGAGUUUAAGCAUAUCAAUAAGCGGAGAAAAAACUACUUAUACAA